GUCGUGGUAGCCAAGCAGGCCCAAGGCGCAUGGUUGCUAACCAUGUGGCGUCAAGCCUCCGGGGUUCGAAUCCCCGCCACGACG
rnacentral:tRNA from 3 species